UUUUGUCAGCCGACUGUAGUGGGGGCAGUGAGCUCAGYUUGUCUUCAGAGGAGAGGGUCCCUAUGCGAAGGUCUAGCACCAGGGAGCAGGACCACAGAAGUGGGGGAACAUGUUUCCUCCUUGCUGCUAGUGACUACAGCUGUUCUGCAGAUGGAGGAAUAAGAAAAACAGGUGACUGCCUGUGCUAUGAGAAAUCCCGGAGUCUAAACAACAUAGCAGUCAUGACCAGUAUGGCUGGUAACACCCUGAGGUUGUCUCCUGUGACCUCGCCCUAUGGAUCACCUUGCCUGCUGCGCCGCUCUCGCUCGCCUAUUCCAUCCAUCCUAUGAGACAUCCACUUUUUGCCUGCUUUCCACACCAACAUCCUAGACCCCCAUAGAUCACUUGCCUUUGGCAACAUACCUGAAGUCAGCUCAAUAUGUGUCUGUAAGAUAAGUAGCUAACACUGUAGCUCAGAUUAAAGUUAAGAAGCCUGGGAAAUUAAGCAAGUUUGUCUUUUUACACAUGAAGGUACAUGCUUGACUAACAUCACUAAGUAACUUCAUUGCUCUGCUGUCACUUGGAGUUUCCUUUAGUUUGAUGUUCUACUUUGAGACUUGCAAUAAACUGCUGGCUUCAGAGGUAGCAGCCAUACACAUUUAAUUYAUAUGAAUAAUCAGGGAYAGUAGAUGUUGCUCUAUGUAGAUAMUUUGAAAAAGAUAUGCUUCCAAARAACAAGGAGCCUGAAAGAGACUGGAACUUAAUUUGAAGAUUUGGCAGAUCUGUCACAAUUUAACUAUCAGUUCACCCAAACAUUCGGUCUUGUCUCUUUUCAAAAGUGACUAAACCUGCUUGUGUUUCUGCAUGGAUCAUCAAGCAGCCUUCUUUGGUAAACAAUGUGGUUAGGCGAAGGAAAGCUAAAUGMUUUAUAUCACAUUUAUUCAAAGUUUUAUCAAUUCAUUGUAGUGAAUUUAUGUUCACUUUUUUUUUCUUUGACCAAGUGCCAACAAACCUAAGUGUUUUUGGUUGUUUACUAACAGACAACUGCAAAGAGGUGGUUUUUACUGGUUUCACACAAGCAGAGAGCCGYGUUCUAUCUUAAUGGCUUUGGAGGAAGGAACAACCAUGGCAAACAGUGGAGGAGCGCUUUUGGAGGCCGCUCUGACUGGACAGCGUGGCAGAGGACACAGAAGCUGCAGAGCAACAGCCACACAGCUCGAGGCUCGGCCAGCAGGGGAGGAGCCAACGGUCAAAAAAGAACUCUGGAAAGGCUUCAAUAGGCCUUCGCAUUUUCUUGAGUUGGUCUUUUUUGUUGUUGUUGUUCCUUUUUAAAGAACAGGUGGUGGGAAAAAAACAACUGGACAAGAGACUAUCUGCAUGAUAGACAUUGCUCCUGUGAAUAUAAAAAACACGGCAGCACAAGUGGCUUUGUUCUCACAUCAAGGUGGUUGCUAAGUUGCACCGUGGUAUUUAACAUCAGUCAAUUUUCUUGUGGUAUCCUCCCUUCCUCUCAAUAAGUGUAUUAAGAUGUAUCAAUCGAGGCACUUUGUUUAGCGUAUUCAUAUAGGAACCUCUAAUUAAGGCAUACACAGUGUAGAGAGACAAAUGUGUUCAGUUAAAUCUGACACCACAAUCAUCACUGCUUUUGUUUUGAUUGUUAAGUUAUUUACUCUGCUGUGCAUUAAACGUGUGUGUUGUGAUAUGUAAAGCAGGUAAGCGAAGAUCUGUGAGAGGUCAUGAUGCCAAAUCUUCCAGUUUGUUUUAGCACAAACCUGAAGAAAAAUCUCCCCUAUGGUGCAGCAGCUAUUGUAGAAGUCCUCUUUCUUGUACCUUAAACAUGCAACUACCCUGCAUUCGUGCUGCACGUUAGUCUUUUUACAAACCAAACUAUUCUUACCGGAAUAAUCCUAACAACUCCUGGUGGCUAUUAAAAACACAACUGCAUAACUUGAUUCUUCCAAAACCUUUUCCCCAUGUGGGAAUGGAGCAAAAGUGUAGCAGAAAUCUAUCAAGUUAUACAGCAGGACUUCUAGAAUGGCUACUAUCUGCACAGUAGCACUCUUGUGGACCCUAACAAUUAGAUCAGAUUUGCAAUAUGUACCGAUUCACACUGUGAUUUCAGUAGCCCAAUAAAAAACGGUGGAAAAGAAAGCAAAGCUGGGUGACACUGAUCAUUGACACAACUUCUGUGGCACGUUGGUAGCGACCUGCACAGGCUAGCUGUUCCAGAUAUCUUCUUGUUCCUCCUUGUGUAGUAAACACGCUGCUUUACUCUUUGAUUUGUCAAAGGGAUACUGUUCUUGUGUAUUUCCAAACUGAUGUUGUAACUUGAAAACAAAGGUGUUUGUUUUUUUGAACCCAAAACAUGAUUUUUGUGUCUGUAAAAGUCAUGAUAGUUUGAUGCUGUGCUUCUCCAUCCUGUCCUGAAACAGUCAAGCGUUUGAUCCUGUUUUUGCAGGUUUUACUGUGGGGGAAAUUCUAGGUUUAAGUGUGUAUUUGUGCAGCCUUAAAGUGCAUGCUGAAAAAAUAACUCACAGUAUUAAACUGUAAAAAAAAAAGACGAUGACCUACUGUUUAUCAUGUAUGUAUAAAGUCAUGUGAAAGUUUCACAUAAACUAUUUAUCUUUUAA